rnacentral:misc_RNA from 1 species
AGAUGGUUGUAGUGUUUUAAUAUCCAUGUUUCGUGAAUUUGUUGAUUUUCUAAAACUUGAAAUUUUCAUUGGAAAUUAUUAUAAAUAAUUCAUUUGUUAUAUAUUGGAUUUAAUUAUUAUAAUUUUUAAGUUGUUUUCUUAAUUAAUUUUAUAUAUAAUAUUAUUAUUGAUGUUAAUUAUUAGUAUAAUAUCACAUUGUUUAAUAAAAAGGUUAGAAAAAAUAAAAAAAAGAAAAUGUAUAAAUAUAGAUAGCUGUAAAAUGAAAUAUUUAUUUGUUUUAACUUUAUAAUUAAAUGUUAAUCUUAAAUAUAAUUAUUGCUAUGAAUUUCUUUGAUAAUAUGAUGUUAAAAAGAAAAUUUUUUUUUUGACUAAUCUUUGUGAAUGAACAUUUGUUUUUCUUUUUAUUAUAAAAUUAGUAUUUAAUUUAUUAAUUAAUUAUCAAUCAUGAUUAAGGCUAUAUUAGUAUUUAAUAAUCAUGGAAAGCCUAGACUUUCUAAAUUUUAUCAAUAUUUUAAUGAAGAUAUGCAGCAACAAAUAAUAAAGGAAACAUUUCAAUUAGUUUCAAAGAGAGAUGAUAAUGUUUGUAAUUUUUUAGAAGGUGGAAGUUUAAUUGGUGGAUCUGAUUAUAAAUUGAUCUAUCGACAUUAUGCUACGUUAUAUUUUGUAUUUUGUGUUGAUAGUUCAGAAUCAGAAUUGGGAAUUUUGGAUUUAAUACAAGUUUUUGUUGAAACAUUGGAUAAAUGUUUUGAAAAUGUAUGUGAACUUGAUCUUAUCUUUCAUGUAGAUAAAGUUCAUUAUAUACUUAAUGAAUUAGUGAUGGGUGGAAUGGUUUUGGAAACUAAUAUGACUGAAAUACUUACAAGAAUUGAAGAUCAAAAUAAAUUGGAAAAACAGGAGGCAGGAAUCACAGCAGCGCCGGCGCGUGCUGUUUCUGCUGUCAAGAAUAUGAACAUACCACAACAGAUAAAGGAUAUGAAGUUGCCUGAUUUACCACAAGCUAUAAAAGAUCUUAAAUUCUGACCAGCCGUUACUUCGUUGGCUCCAAGCUGACUAGUUUCAACUAUAAUUCCAAAUGCAAAUGAUACUACAAGGGUUUUUUUUCCCUUUCAUUCAAGCAAACGAGAAUACAUCAAUAUUAUCCACAAAUUCUUCAUGUAUUUCAUCUCAACAAAAUUAAUCAAUGAAGAUUUUCAAAGAAGAGGAUUUGUACUAUAUAAUUUGAGAAAAUUACUUAUAUCUGACCUUAAAAUUAAGAAUUUGGAUUAUUGGAAGUAUUAUGUUCAAUAUAUAAGAAAAAAAAGAUGUAACAAUUUCAUUUCUAAGUGUAGUCCAUAUAUAUCCAGUACCCCUUUCUGUAAGUGGUGGUGGAUAUGAUGUAUUUUUUAGUUUGUAAUAAUCUGAUGGAGCAUGCAUUACAAA